UACGGGGGGGCAAGCGUUGUUCGGAAUUACUGGGCGUAAAGGGCUCGUAGGCGGCCAACUAAGUCAUACGUGAAAUCCCUCGGCUUAACCGGGGAACUGCGUCUGAUACUGGAUGGCUUGAGUUCGGGAGAGGGAUGCGGAAUUCCAGGUGUAGCGGUGAAAUGCGUAGAUAUCUGGAGGAACACCGGUGGCGAAGGCGGCAUCCUGGACCGAUACUGACGCUGAGGAGCGAAAGCCAGGGGAGCAA
rnacentral:rRNA from 1 species